GGCAGUGUGGUGUAGUGAUUCAAGUGUUGGACUAUAGCUCUGCCGAACAGGGUUUGAAUCCCUGCUCAGCCA